rnacentral:tRNA from 1 species
AAAACCUUAAGUUAAAUAAACUAUUAACCUUCAAAGUUAAAAAUAUAAAAUUUAUAGGUUUUA